UUUGGUUCAGAGUCGAUGUUACCUACUAUGUUGGUUUCUUUUGUUUGUUUUUCUUUUGCUCGGUUUUCUCUUUUUUUUCUUUCUAUUUUUUCACCGAGUGCCAUUUUUCGUGCUUCUUUUUGAAUCUUGGAGUUAUAAUUUUUUCUUUUUUUUUCUUUCUCUCGAUGAUUUCCUAUUUCAGUUUUUUCUUUCUUUUUGUUUUCGCACUUUCUUGGGCUUUGGGAGCUUUUUGGGGGUUUUUACCCCAAACUUAGCUUUUUA
rnacentral:lncRNA from 1 species